rnacentral:rRNA from 1 species
GACGAACGCUGGCGGCGUGCUUAACACAUGCAAGUCGAACGGAAAGGCCCUGCUUUUGUGGGGUGCUCGAGUGGCGAACGGGUGAGUAACACGUGAGUAACCUGCCCUUGACUUUGGGAUAACUUCAGGAAACUGGGGCUAAUACCGGAUAGGAGCUCCUGCUGCAUGGUGGGGGUUGGAAAGUUUCGGCGGUUGGGGAUGGACUCGCGGCUUAUCAGCUUGUUGGUGGGGUAGUGGCUUACCAAGGCUUUGACGGGUAGCCGGCCUGAGAGGGUGACCGGCCACAUUGGGACUGAGAUACGGCCCAGACUCCUACGGGAGGCAGCAGUGGGGAAUAUUGCACAAUGGGCGGAAGCCUGAUGCAGCAACGCCGCGUGCGGGAUGACGGCCUUCGGGUUGUAAACCGCUUUCGCCUGUGACGAAGCGUGAGUGACGGUAAUGGGUAAAGAAGCACCGGCUAACUACGUGCCAGCAGCCGCGGUGAUACGUAGGGUGCGAGCGUUGUCCGGAUUUAUUGGGCGUAAAGGGCUCGUAGGUGGUUGAUCGCGUCGGAAGUGUAAUCUUGGGGCUUAACCCUGAGCGUGCUUUCGAUACGGGUUGACUUGAGGAAGGUAGGGGAGAAUGGAAUUCCUGGUGGAGCGGUGGAAUGCGCAGAUAUCAGGAGGAACACCAGUGGCGAAGGCGGUUCUCUGGGCCUUUCCUGACGCUGAGGAGCGAAAGCGUGGGGAGCGAACAGGCUUAGAUACCCUGGUAGUCCACGCUGUAAACGGUGGGUACUAGGUGUGGGGUCCAUUCCACGGGUUCCGUGCCGUAGCUAACGCUUUAAGUACCCCGCCUGGGGAGUACGGCCGCAAGGCUAAAACUCAAAGGAAUUGACGGGGCCCCGCACAAGCGGCGGAGCAUGCGGAUUAAUUCGAUGCAACGCGUAGAACCUUACCUGGGUUUGACAUGGAUCGGGAGUGCUCAGAGAUGGGUGUGCCUCUUUUGGGGUCGGUUCACAGGUGGUGCAUGGCUGUCGUCAGCUCGUGUCGUGAGAUGUUGGGUUAAGUCCCGCAACGAGCGCAACCCUUGUUCACUGUUGCCAGCACGUUAUGGUGGGGACUCAGUGGAGACCGCCGGGGUCAACUCGGAGGAAGGUGGGGAUGACGUCAAGUCAUCAUGCCCCUUAUGUCCAGGGCUUCACGCAUGCUACAAUGGCUGGUACAGAGAGUGGCGAGCCUGUGAGGGUGAGCGAAUCUCGGAAAGUCGGUCUCAGUUCGGAUUGGGGUCUGCAACUCGACCUCAUGAAGUCGGAGUCGCUAGUAAUCGCAGAUCAGCGACGCUGCGGUGAAUACGUUCCCGGGGCU